rnacentral:tRNA from 1 species
GGGGUUGUAGUUCAGUUGGUUAGGACACUUGCCUGUCACGCAAGAGAUCGAGGGUUCGAGUCCCUUCAGCCCCGCCA